UACGGAGGAUGCAAGCGUUAUCCGGAUUUAUUGGGUUUAAAGGGUGCGCAGGCGGAUUGGUAAGUCAGUGGUGAAAGCCCCCGGCUCAACUGGGGAAUUGCCAUUGAUACUGUCAAUCUAGAGUACAGUUGAAGUAGGCGGAAUGUAGCAUGUAGCGGUGAAAUGCUUAGAUAUGCUACAGAACACCGAUUGCGAAGGCAGCUUACUAAACUGAAACUGACGCUCAGGCACGAAAGCGUGGGGAGCAAACAGGAUUAGAUACCCUGGUAGUCCACGCUGUAAACUAUGAUCACUCGUUGUUGGCGAUAUACAGUCAGCGACUGAGCGAAAGUAUUAAGUGAUCCACCUGGGAAGUACGAUCGCAAGGUUG
rnacentral:rRNA from 1 species